UACGUAGGGGGCAAGCGUUGUCCGGAAUCAUUGGGCGUAAAGAGCUCGUAGGCGGUGUGUCACGUCGGCCGUGAAAACCUGGGGCUUAACUCUGGGCGUGCGGUCGAUACGGGCAUCACUAGAGUUCGGCAGGGGAGACUGGAAUUCCUGGUGUAGCGGUGAAAUGCGCAGAUAUCAGGAGGAACACCGGUGGCGAAGGCGGGUCUCUGGGCCGAUACUGACGCUGAGGAGCGAAAGCAUGGGUAGCGAACAGG
rnacentral:rRNA from 1 species